AUCCUGGCUCAGAAUCAACGCUGGCGGCGUGCCUCAGACAUGCAAGUCGAACGCGAAAGCCCCCUUCGGGGGGCAAGUAGAGUGGCGCACGGGUGAGUAACACGUAGGUAAUCUACCUUUGGAUGGGGAAUAACAACCGGAAACGGUUGCUAAUACCGCAUAAUGCAGCGGCACCUAAUGGUGACAGUUGUUAAAGCGGGGGAUCGCAAGACCUCGCGUCUGAAGAGGAGCCUGCGGCGGAUUAGCUAGUUGGUAGGGUAACGGCUUACCAAGGCGAUGAUCCGUAGCCGGCCUGAGAGGGCGGUCGGCCACACUGACACUGACAUACGGGUCAGACUCCUACGGGAGGCAGCAGUCGGGAAUUUUGGGCAAUGGGCGAAAGCCUGACCCAGCAACGCCGCGUGAAGGAUGAAAUCCCUCGGGAUGUAAACUUCGCAAGAACGGGAAGAAUAAGUCUGCGCAAAUAUCGCAGAUGAUGACGGUACCGUUUGUAAGCUCCG
rnacentral:rRNA from 1 species